rnacentral:misc_RNA from 1 species
GGGAUCUGUGGAAUAAUGGAAAAUAAAAAAAGAGAGAAAUUGUAAAAGUAUAGCUCUGGAUAAUGGUGUCACAACACUGCACUAUUGGAGGGUCUUAUUUCUGAGGUUCACAUCUCGUUGCUUUUACCAAAUUGUGGAUGUUGUGGCUGCUGUGCAGAUUAUAAAUCUAAUGUGUGUGCUGCUGCUGGAUUUUACAUAAGCUGUCAGAUAUAGACAUUAGCUGAGCACUGCUAUUCUAAAUGGCCAUAUGGUCUAUAACAUUAUCAAAAGCUAUGCAGAACAUGUAUUUUGGUUUCCAAUGCUCCCUCUCCUUUCCUCUUCCCGCUCUUACCCUCUCUAACCCCCUUUUGUUUAAAAUCAUUCAUAUGAUGACCAUUUUACAAUUGAUGCACCUUCCAACGUUUGUAAAUUUUACACAACAUAUCUUGCCUGGACAGGACAAGACAAUAGAUGUUACUUUUCUGCUCUCUCCCACCCCCUCCCUCCUUCCCUCUUGUGUGUGCACGUGUUUAGGAUAUUUAUUAUGUUGAAACACAUAUGCAAUGUCAUGUGUGCGUCCUUUUUCUUAUUAA